ensembl:lncRNA
CACACCUUCCUUAAGUCCAACAGAGGCUCAGUGUUAAUGUGUGCAUUAGUGAGGAGGAGGAGGAGGGUCCCCGGGGUCCAGCGCUUCUCCAACUUAAUUAUGACGAGGGUGGAAGGCGGGGGGGGGGACUAAUGAACUGUAGGAUUACAGAGGUGAUAAUCACUGUCUUGGUAGGUGCAUUAAAUGUCUGGCUCUGUGUCAUAAGGCUGCGAGUCUCACAGAAGACACAAGUAGAACAAGGGGUUCCCAAUAAGUCAGCGGAUCGCCUGCCUUUGGAAAAAAACAAUCACGUCGGUUGACCGAAAAAACGUUCUGAAGCGACCCUGUCUGACUCCAAUCAGCGCUGGUCAUCGAGGAAGGUCUCAUUUACCCAUGAUCCCACACUCCGGCGGCUUCGUGUUUUUUGAUGUCCAGAGGGGCCGAGUCCGAUUUAUCAUGUUUUAAGAUGACGCCUCCCAUUCAUCACCGACGGACACUCUGCUGCUUCAUUAGCCAAUAUCAGACUGUAAGUAGGGAGCUAAUUAAAUCCAAACACACCCGUUACGUAACACACACACACACGUGCACGGUGGAGUGUUUAAAGAGCAUCCCAACAUGCUAAUAUUUGCAUGUAUUUGACCCUCAGCUCGCAGCGCUGCAGCUCCGCUCUCACAGCGCAUUAAUUUAGCUUCUGAAUAAUAAAGCGGCUCCUUUUCUUCUCUUUGGUUCAGAUCACACCAACACCUGAAUACCAUAAUGGGAAGGAG